UCGUAAAACCGAGGUGCGAGGGCUGUCGCUGACCUUUUUUUGGUUGUGCACGCCCGAGUGCUCUCACACAAUCCAUCUCACCCCUUGUGCACCACCGCGUGGGUUUCCUUUCUGGCUUGUUCGGAAGGGGGGCUUGCGUUUUCACACAAACUUGAAGUAGUGUAGAAUGUCCUUUUUUGCGAUAACACGCAAUCAAUA
rnacentral:misc_RNA from 1 species